rnacentral:tRNA from 1 species
GGUCCCGUAGCUCAACCGGCAGAGCGUCCGCGAUAUUCGAGCGGGAGGCAUCGAUUCAAGUUCGGUCGGGAUCA